AAGCUUGUGACUCCAUAGUAAUAGAAGAAGAAAAAUAUUUUCUUCAAAGCUUGGAACCAAAGCUUGAUCUUAUCUUCCAAAGGAUGAAAUAUUGAAGUGCUAUCACUUUGUUCUUCAUCUACACGGGUUUAUCACCAAUUGGUCCUCCACUUGUGUUUUGGAAGGGGCUAAGAGCUUGAGGACCUAUAUUGAUGAUGGAAGUAUCGAGGAGUGUAGAGGUAAUGAUGAAAAGGCUGGGGAGCAAGGCAUUACUGCAGAGGGAGAGGCAGACGCUUAGGACCUUCCCUAACAAGGACAGUUAUGUUACGAGUGAUAGGUUAUGUUA